rnacentral:rRNA from 1 species
UACGUAGGGGGCUAGCGUUGUCCGGAAUCAUUGGGCGUAAAGAGCGUGUAGGCGGUCCGGUAAGUCCGUUGUGAAAGUCAGGGGCUCAACCCUUGAAUGCCGGCGGAUACUGUCGGGCUAGAGUCCGGAAGAGGCGAGUGGAAUUCCCGGUGUAGCGGUGAAAUGCGCAGAUAUCGGGAGGAACACCUAUGGCGAAGGCAGUGUUCUGGGCCAGUACUGACGCUGAGGAGCGAAAGCGUGGUAGCAAACAGG